AAUCAACGCUGGCGGCGUGCCUAACACAUGCAAGUCGAACGCGAGAGUCCCGCAAGGGACAAUUGAGUGGCAAACGGGUGAGUAACACGUGGGUGACCUGCCCUCAGCUCUGGGAUAAGCCUGGGAAACCGGGUCUAAUACUGGAUAUGACUCCAUGACGCAUGUUGUGGGGUGGAAAGCCUUGUGCGGCUGAGGAUGGGCCCGCGGCCUAUCAGCUUGNGGUGGGGUGGAUGGCCUACCAAGGCGACGACGGGUAGCCGGCCUGAGAGGGCGACCGGCCACACUGGGACUGAGACACGGCCCAGACUCCUACGGGAGGCAGCAGUGGGGAAUCUUGCGCAAUGGGCGAAAGCCUGACGCAGCGACGCCGCGUGAGGGAUGACGGCCU
rnacentral:rRNA from 1 species